UACGUAGGUGGCAAGCGUUUGUCCGGAUUUAUUGGGUUUAAAGGGUGCGUAGGCGGCUUAUUAAGUCAGUGGUGAAAUACUCUAGCUCAACUAGAGGGGUGCCAUUGAUACUGAUGAGCUUGAGUACAGAUGAGGUAGGCGGAAUUGACGGUGUAGCGGUGAAAUGCGUAGAUAUCGGGAGGAACACCAAUUGCGAAGGCAGCUCGCUGGGACGUUACUGACGCUGAGACGCGAAAGCGUGGGGAGCAAACAGG
rnacentral:rRNA from 1 species